CUUCCAGGCAUCUCCAGCUGAGACAGUGCUCUAGCGAUGGUCACAGGUAUAAGCUGUUAGCUAGAGCAAUUUCAGCAGUUGGGAGGUGAGCAUAUCAACCCACAAGGUUGUCUGAGAGGGACAACAACUUCUGCUGUUAGUUUACUUUUGGGUAUAAACGUGAACUUUGAGGAAAGAGUUAAAUUCAAUUAAAAACAAAUUCGUUGAGUGUCUACUAUGUGCAAAACAAUAUGUUGUGGCAAAAGGGGGACGCAAUGUGAAAGAUCUGUUGCCCUCGAGAAGAAACGACCCUGCAUAUCAGCAAGGUAUCUUUUCCUGAAGCCGGUCUUCAUUAACAGGCUUGGUCUUUCUCCCAGUGGAGAAAUCACUUGGGCCACUUCUGCAUCUAGAGUGUCAGACCCAAGCUAGGAAAAAGAAUCAUCUUUAAAAGUAUGUCAUCAGCACUCAAGACCUUUAAUGAGCCAGCGGAAUUGGUCUCCUGGUCCUCUCCUCACUCCACAGAGACUGAAAACGAACCAGACAGAGGACGAGAGUCCGCAUGCUGAACCACUUAAAUUCACAUGGCGGCUAAGAAGACAAGAGUUUCGGCAGGCAUAGAGGCUAAGAGAGUUAAGAGCAUCCUCCGUGCCUAGUACAGUCCCCAGCUGCAUCAUAAACAGAUGAAAUGAAAAAGUUUUUUCUCCCAAUCAAGCCAGCAGGAGAGCAAGGGUCUGUGGUACCUGGGGACAAUGCACCAUGCUUACACCCUCUCUAGCCACAUGUAUGCUACUGCGGAAUUGGCAAAGACAGAGUGCAACCCUUUUUAGUCAUCAACCUGGGGGAGAGAUCUCUUCUGCACAUAAAAGUAUCCCCACAGCAUUGUGAUCACACUGGAGAAAGUGGACGGGAUAAAGAGAAGGAAGGACGUUUUGUUGAGUGCCUUCUAUGUGCUGUUCGCUCUGCUGAGCUUCAAGUUUCUCAAAUAUAAAUGGGGGAGAGGCUGGGCGCGGUGGCUUACGCCUGUAAUUCCAGAACUUUUGGAGGCCAAGGCGAGCAGAUCACAAGGUCAGGAGUUGCAGACCAGCUUGGCCAACAUAGUGAAACUCUGUCUCUACUAAUAAUACAAAAAUUAGUUGGGCAUGGUGGCACGUGCCUAUAAUGCCAGCUACUUGGGAGGCUGAGGCAGGAAAACUGCUUGAACAGGGACCUGGGAAGCAGAGGUUGCAGUGAGCCGAGACCACGCCACUGCACUCCAGCCUGGGCUACAGAGCGAGACUCUGUCUCAAAAAAUAAAUAUAAAUAAAUAAAUGAGGGAGAACCAUGAUUCAUAGGGUUCUUAAUAAUGAAGAUAACAAUACCAAUGCCAAUAACAACUGUCACAUAUUCUGCAUGCUGGACAUUGUGCUAAUUCUUUCCAUGCAUUUUCUCACCUAAGCCUUACAACAACCCGGAGGGAUAGGUACGAUUUUACAGAUGACAAGACUAAGGAACAGAGUUUAAGCCAAUUUCCCAAGAUUGCAGAGCUACUGAAGGUCACAGACACUAUUUUGUCCUUCAGUGGUUAGUCUUCUAGAGCCCAUAAGCUUCACCUCUGUGGUAUCUGUUUCCCAUUUUGCAGGCACCACAUGUCCCACUAUUUGGGAUAAUAUAGUAAAAUGCAUAGUACAGUCUUCCCACUUCCAAGCAGCACUAUAAAUGGAGACUAACAGUUCAUCUAACUGGAGACGGCAAAGAAGGCUUCCUAGAGGAGGUGGCCCCUCUAGUAUCUUGCUUUUCCUACAAGCACCCCUGUAGGCCCAUCUUUGGGAAGUUGGGGUGGGGGGCACAUAGGUGCCAGGUUGAAAAAGUGUUUCUGUUCCUUCCAACGAAGAGAACAGAAAGAGGUCCAGAGAGAGAGAAACAUACAGAUGUCCUCCAGCUUUCAGAACCUGAAGGCUGAUUUCAAAUAAGUUGUGCCCAUUUGGGGCUGUGCCUAGAGGAAGAGAAUGUUGGAAUCAUUCUCUUCUCUUCUUGUGCAACCACUUUUAGAGGCAGCUUGAGAAGAAAGUUUAAUCAAAGUGGUUUUUAGACAAUGAGGAACCUGAGUCAGGCCCCUACACCUGUGAAGGCCACUCUGUUCAGCUUCCUAUAACAUCUCUUAUGUAGAUAUUCUGUAGAAUAUAGAUAGGUAGAUACGUAUAUAUUGAAAAAUAUCAACUCAGGAAUUAUUUUUUCUCUGAUAACUGUUGAAAGAGCCCUUUCAUUAAUAGCAAAUCCUUUUGUUUCUGCCUUGCCCCUUCAACAACAACAAAAAAAUUUGAAAAGAAUACGAAUGCCGAUUGACCUUCACUCAAAUGCACUUUUUUAAACCUAGGACUGCCUUCCUUAUCCAAGUAAUGGCUUUCAGACAGAUUAUAAGAUCUUGUACCAAAUUAAGCAAAAGAUUAGAAGAAUAAGGACACACUGAGAAAACACGUGCUGCCUCUUUAAUGUCUCAGGUUUUCUUUAAACAUAAAAUUAUAGCACAAUGCACAAAAGGACGGCGGCAUUAUCCUUUAUCACAAUACCCAGCCAACUUUAACUUGUCUCAAGUGUUAUUAUAAGAAAUAGAAUUUACUGCUAUGGACUUCUCUUCAAUACCACUCCUUCCCUGUUUAAUGAAAUGUCAUUAUUCCAAUACAAACCCUUUCUUUUUGCAGCCUGUUCCCCCCCCGACCCAACCACUAUAUUUCAUUUCCUGCAGUUACGUGAUAUUAUUGCCUUUUUUCCACAGCUAUUGAUUUAGGUGUAUAUGGUUAUUACAAUGCAAAAUAAAACAGCUCCCCCAUCCAUUCUACCUUGUACCAUUGAACAUUAACUUAAUUUGUUUCAAAUCUGCAUUUGAUUUGGCAAGGAAACCAUUUAUCUUUAUGAAGAAAGCCCUCAUAAAGUAGAGAGUUUAGAAGAUCACUGCUUUAAAAAUUUAAUAGCCUUGUGUCUUAUAAACUAGAAAAAUGAAUUAAAC
rnacentral:lncRNA from 10 species